CGUGUAGGCGGCUUGGUAAGUCGAGUGUGAAAUCCCAGGGCUCAACCCUGGAACUGCACCCGAAACUGCCUCGCUAGAGUCCCGGAGAGGGUGGCGGAAUUUCCGGUGUAGAGGUGAAAUUCGUAGAUAUCGGAAGGAACACCAGUGGCGAAGGCGGCCACCUGGACGGUGACUGACGCUGAGACGCGAAAGCGUGGGGAGCAAACA
rnacentral:rRNA from 1 species